rnacentral:rRNA from 1 species
AGAGUUUGAUUAUGGCUCAGGACGAACGCUGGCGGCACGCUUAACACAUGCAAGUCGAACGGAGUUAUCGAGAGCUUGCUUUGAUAACUUAGUGGCGGACGGGUGAGUAACACGUGAGCAAUCUGCCCUUAAGAGGGGGAUAGCAGUUGGAAACGACUGAUAAUACCGCAUAAGAUAGUAGUACCGCAUGGUACAGCUAUAAAAGAUUUAUCGCUUAAGGAUGAGCUCGCGUCUGAUUAGCUAGUUGGUGAGGUAACGGCUCACCAAGGCAACGAUCAGUAGCCGGACUGAGAGGUUGGACGGCCACAUUGGGACUGAGACACGGCCCAGACUCCUACGGGAGGCAGCAGUGGGGAAUAUUGCACAAUGGAGGAAACUCUGAUGCAGCGAUGCCGCGUGAGGGAAGAAGGUUUUAGGAUUGUAAACCUCUGUUGACAGGGACGAUAAUGACGGUACCUGUUGAGGAAGCUCCGGCUAACUACGUGCCAGCCGCAGC